rnacentral:lncRNA from 1 species
CUUCAUACAGGAUCUAGCUACUGCUCACACAGCUUGAUAAUCCCACCUGGAAGAGGCCAUCCACAGGUACCCUUGUGGAUGGAUGAUGGCUUCUUAAGUACCAGAAAAAUGGCUCAGCUUGAAUACUUUCUAUUAGGUAUUCUUCGCUAGCAAUUUUUUAAUAUACUCAGAUUUUUUCCCACAGAAAGAUUUAUAUUGGGGUAUUGAGAUUCAAAAUGGAGGGAAGAAAAUUGCUAUUGUACAAAUUUUAAGGUUGGUUGCUCUCUCCUAUGAAGUGCAUUAAGAUGUUUUUGAUACUCCCACUUAUAGCAGGGAUCAUUAUCCUAGGGCCAUUAUAAUUUACAUACCUAAGUCUGGUAUUCUAAACACCCUGUGAAUUACUUGAGGUCAGGGUCCAUGUCUGGUUUCCCAUUAGAGCCUCCUCUGUCUCUCACGAUUUUAGUACAGUAAACUGAGUAUGCAACCCCCACCCUUCCUUAGCCCUUCCUUUGGGGAUGGUUAUUUGGUGCCUUUUCCCUUUACUUCCUCUUGUUGUUUUUCGAUUUGAAACCUGCACCUAGCCCAUGCCCAAUCCUCUUGAAGGCAGAAGAUGACACUCUUAGCAACUACUGUGUGACCCAAUCACUGUACCCCAAACAGGCAGCUUGUAGACCAGAGACCCUAUUAGAUUUAGGCAGCACAGCACAGGGCUAUAAAAACCUUCUCCUGCCACCCACCCCCUCCUCUUUUUCUCUGGUAGAUCAGACACUGUCACAAUAGCAAUAAAGAUCUCUUGGUCACUUUGAGUGUCAUGGUCACUUUCCUUUCAUGAGUAUUGAUGAAUAUGUGAAUGGUAUUUUAUUCCUUUUCUGAGCUACAUUUUGGUAAAGGUAAUAUCAGCCUCUGGUGAGACAUAACAUUUCCAAGAUCCAAACAAAAAUGUCUGCUCCAUUUGGAGUCUCCCUGAGCCAUAAAGAUGCUGAAGUAAUGAAAGCACACUAAGUUGGAUAGAAACACUAAAUUCAUUCUCUCUUGGGGAAAGACACCAAAGCAUCCUAUGGAUGAAUGUUUUCUAUGAAGAAGACUUAACAUUUACAGUUACCAUGUAAAGUAUUUCUGGAAAAUAACCUAAAAGUAAUAUCUACCAGAUAAGGUCAGCUUACCCUUUGAAGGAUGCAGAAACAGAUCCCAUCCUUGACCUUUGUUCUCAAGAGGUAUUGCUGAGCUCUGCCUAAGAUGCUGGGUUUGGGCCUUCCAAGAAUAAGGAAGUUUGUUAAAAUGUAAAUCUUUUAACUCCUCAAGAAAAGAAGUACUAGAGCCGGGCACAGUAGUGCUUGUAAUCUCAGCGGUUUAGGAGGCUGACACAGGAAUAUCGUAAGUUUGAGGCCUGCUUUAGCAAUUUAGCAAGGGUCUAAGCCACUUACUGAGAGCCUGUCUCAAAAAAUAAAAAGGUCUGGGGUUGUGGCACAAUGGUUAAGCAUCCCUGGGUUCAGUCCCUGGUACAGAAGAAGGAGGAGGAGGAAGAGAAGAAGACGAAAUGGUACUCACCUGUCCUUCUAAUUUAUACAUAAGAAAGUAGAAGUUGAUUUCAUGAUGUUCAUAUGCUAUAAGUGAACAAAUAAUUCUAGAGAAAUUCUUCUAAUUUUGAAAAUACCAAGCACAAGUUUAUGGUAACCAUGUAUCCUUAUUUUAAAGUAGCAGUAUAAGCAUAAGAUAAACUGCCUUACAGAGUGGUCAGUGAAUAUUUGUUAAGUUAUGUCAUAACAUGGCUGAUUGGUCCUUUUCAAAUAACCUCUAUCAAUAACUCUAAAAAUAUUUUAUAAGUAGAACAAAUCAUCGUCAUUGUCUCAUACUGUCCAUAGAGUUUAGGUGACACUUUGGGUAGCCAACACAUCACUACACCCUGUUUCAUGCCACUUCAUGCUACUUACGUUAAACUUUGAGCAAGUCCUGCAAAAACAUGACUUGAACUAUUUAAAGAUUUUGUAUCUCUGUAUCUUAAAAGCAUCAUAAAAUCCAAUCAGGAUAAAGAGAGACAAAGAUCUGAUUAGAUUUAUAAUUUCAGUGUCUGCCUCUAUCACUUGUAUUCUGGUUUCUUUUUCUUAUUUUAAUUAUUCUUCAAAAGUGUCUGUGUGGGAAUGACUUAAAUUUUAAAUUAAGUAACCUCUGAAAACUGUUCAGCUUUCUGCAAUCUUUUUGAUGAGCCAAAUACACACAUGUGCGCGCACGCACACACACACACAUACACACAAUGGAACUAGUUAUUGUCUCAAGACUGUUUUAUCAGCUUAGUAUUGAAUAAUGAUGUCAGCCUAGAAACUGAUACGCUGAGUUAUUUGGGUCAAGAAGAUCAUACUUGACUCCAUAAAGAGGUUCCCUGGGCUGAAGUGCCAACAGGGCACAGGCUAAUACCACAGUAGUUACUCAGGAGGGUUGAGAUCUAUCAUAAGCUCUUACUGAUGGCUUGGCAUCUUUUAAUUUUUUUAACUGAUUUUAGAAAUAAACAGAAAAAAAAAAUAAAGUCUCUCCUUUUAUAAGAUCGAUGAUCUGACCUUUCCCAUGAGGUCUCAGAUUUACCUGACACCUUGAUCUCUAGAGGAAACAGCAUCCUCCACUUAUGGCAUGACUUUUAUAUGAUGAACGCACCCUCACUCAAGGGAAAUUUUAGAGACAUUUCAUUGAUCCCAGUUUUCUCUGUUGAAAGCUCAAUUUCAAAUCCAAGUCUGUUUAAGAUUUCUCUCCUCAGAACCUUCUGUUCCAGAGAACCAAAUAUAGAAAGAAUAGGAGAAAUUGCUUAGCUCCAUUACAAAGAAUUAGCUUCUUGCUUUCUUAUUUCUCACCAAGCACCAAAGCAGCCCUCUUCCCCUUUAGGAGGGAUAGUCCACCACUUCCCCUGAGGCACACUUGAAGCCUGUCA